AAGUACAACUACAACAAAAAUGCUAUGGCUGUCUGUUGGAAUUAACAUGAUUGGCCAUGAUUGUUAAGCUGUUUAAAAAUGAGUGAGAAGCUGCCACCAUUAGACUUGAUUCCUCUGCCUGAGGACUCUAAAGAUGGGUGUUCUGUUCCCGAGUCAGAAGGAGAUGGAGAGACAGGGGACAAGUCGGAAAGAAAACGACAUCACACCAACGAUGAGAUCCAGUCAGCUGAACCGGGUGAGAAGAAGAAAAAGCUGGACGCCAAAGUGUUACUGAGCUCUGAGCUGGAAAAACAGAAACAAAAAGCUGUGGAAGAAUCGGAGAGUGGCAAUCUGGGAAUGCAGGGUGAUGCCGUGUCUAGUCAGGAUGGCGUCGAAGCUUCGUCGAGCUCCUCGCAGACGAUUGUUGACGAGUUGUUCCAGGAUUUCCUCGCCUUCAAGAUGCAGCAGGACGAGAAGGUGAAGCAGCUGAAACAGCACAGUGUGAAGUCGGCCGAGGUCUCGCAGGUCGCCCACUCCAUGGAGGAGAUGAGCAAGCUUCUCGACCAGGAGAUCAACCUGUUGCUGAGCACCAAAAAGCCACAACAGACUGGGUCCGAUUCGCCACCCUACAAGGAGAAGAAGAAGAAGAGGCAUUCGGAGAAGAAGAGAGAUCGAGAACAUAAACAUCGCAACAGAGACAGAAGUUACGAUCGUGAAGAUCGGAGAGACAGAAAACAUAGGCGUGAUGAGAAUGAUGGUCGGGAUGGCGAUAGAAAGAAAAGGAAGGAAUGUGAUAAAUGGGACAAACAUUCAGAACGUAGGAGAGAUAGAGAUUCAGAGUCAAAGAGAGAGAAGGAUUCUGAAAAAGAUAAGAAUAAAGACAGUGGAAUGAAGAAGGACAAAGAUUUGGAAAGAGAAAAGAACAAAGAUAGUGGAAUGAAGAGAGAGAAAGAUUUGGAAAGAGAGAAAAAUAAAGACAGUGGAACGAAGAGAGACAAAGAUUCAGAUAGUAAUAGAGAUAGGGAAGUGUCAAAAACCAGCAGUGGAACAAGACAGAACAAUGACGCUUCCUCUAUAGAUGGCUGUGAUCAUAAGAAAGAAAUUGAUUCCACAACACACCAAACAUCAAAUGACAAAAUGAAUAAGGUCAAAGAUUCUGAAGCUGUUAAUUGUGCUGAUGAUAAUUCUAGUUCUCCAAAGGCGGGUUUAGGUUUUAGUUUGCAGAAACCUGAACCUUCACUGGUGUUUGAGACUGGCAACACAAACAGUGUGUCGGCUGAUUCCAAGAAGCUGGAUGGGGAUAAUAAAGCUCCAGUUUCAGUGGACACACAGAAGAAGCCGAUGGGUUUGAAGCUGGCCAUUAGUCAAGAAAGCACAGCCUGGAUUCUGUCUGGACAGUCACAUAACUAUAAGAAGAAUAAAAUAAUGGAGGAAGGUGAGGUGAGUUGGUCCUCCAGCGACAGUUCAUCUGACAAGGAGUCUGAGUCUGAAGAGAGUGACGACGACGAGCUACCCGACGGUAUACCCAAUGAGUCAGGGUCUUUGUCCGACACUGAUAAGGAAAGUAAAUCUUCAAAGUCAAAAACGAAAAAGAAAAAGAAACAUAAGCAUAAGAAAAAGAAAAAACAUAAAAGCAAGGAUAAAGCAAAGAAAGAUGAGAAGAAAGAUAAGCUAAAAGAGAAAAAGAAUGAUGACAAGAAACAUUCACGGUCAAGGUCUGGGUCACCACGAAAAGGUCAUCGAUCGAGGUCAUGUUCUGCUGGCCGCAAAUCAAGAAACAAAUCCCGGUCACGUUCUCCUGGUCAUAGAUCGAGAACGAGAAGUCACGACAGACGGAAAGACAAACAUGGCUAUGAUGAGUGGGACGCCCGUAGCUAUGGAUCCAAGGGUGAGCGUGAUCACAGACGGCAUAGAUCGAGGAGUCGAUCGCGAUCGCGAGACAGGGGGCGUGACCGGUGGUAUCACCAUGAUACGAGAAGCAGCAGGGAGGAGAGGGACUUGAGACUGAAGAUUGAUAAAGCUAAACUCAGGAAGAUAGCCAUGGCUAAUGUUUUAAAGAAGAUGCAGGCUGGAGAAGAAAUAUCUGGUGUUGACUCGGUUACAAUGAACAUGCUGAAAGCUGGCGGGAAAUCAGUGGAGGAACUUACAGAGUACUGUAAGAAACUUGCCGAGCGUGAGAAGUGUGCGUAUUCGAGCAGUGAGAGUGACGCAGGUCAGCGAUCGGACAGUGACGACGAUUCACUGAUACAUCACCCAUUUGUGAUUCGCGACCCAGCAUCACAGCCCAGCAUUGUUCUCAAUAUUCGGAAUUCCAAGCAGCUGCCUGUUCGAACUCCCCAGGAGACGGUAAUGGAGUCAGCACAGCUCAGACUUCAGUUCCCUGUGUCCAGCGGAACGUCCCAUCGCGCCAAGGAGGGGGAAUGGGUUCCCGUGCCAAAAACAACAGCAGCCGCUAUUGCAGCACCAGCGGCUGCACUAGUGACGGCCGUUGCUGUCGGUGAUAUCAAAGUAGCUGAAGUGAGCAGUGUGACUACUCAAUCUGCAAUAAUGCCAGCUCCUGUCGCUCCACCACCACCACCACCACCUGUCCCUGCAUCGGCUACAACUACAGCAGCGGUUCCUGCCGUUGAGACUAAUAAUGCAGAUAAAGUGUUUCCUGAUCCACCACAAAAGGCAAUCGAUAUUGGCAGCAUCAUAAGUGAGCGGCUGCAUGCAGCUCGGAAGUUAGCGUCUAACCCAUACGAUGUGCAGGCACUGACGGCCAUGCACCACGUACAACAAAAGGCAAGUCGAUGGGCGGAGUCUAAACACCUGCCCGGUCAGUUCAUUGGAUCGACCGGUGUCCAGACAUUAACCCCGCAAGAACUGGCUGCUGGAGAUAAGAGAAGCCAGCCGUGGGCAAGAAAGGUUCAGACCACACUUGCCGGCCUCCGAGUUAGACGUACAGGUAUUACGUGAUAUUGCCGACUCCAACACUGCAUCAGCCAUGUUUGUCCCAGGACAUGCGGAUGGACCUGUUUAAAAGAGCAGCCCCUGUAAAGGGUGGGAUUGGCAUGUUCCUGCUACAGAAGAUGGGGUGGAAGCAGGGGGAGGGGCUUGGCAAGGGUGGAGUGGGCAACUUGGAACCCCUUAUGUUGGACGUCAA
rnacentral:misc_RNA from 1 species